AGAGUUAAUUAGACAAUCGCUGUUUUAAUAAAAAACGUUUUUAAAAUAGAGGAAAGUCCAGGCUCCUUUGGACAGGGUGCCAGAAAGAUAUCAAUUGAUCUGGGAAGCGUGAGCUUACGAAAAGUGCAUCAGAAAAAAAACCGCCGUUUUUCGGUAAGGGUGAAAAGGAGUGGUAAUAGCACACCGCAUGAAACGGUAACGUUUCAUGGCAUUGUAAACUUCCACCUGGAGCAAGGCUAAAUAAGGUUAAUGCGUCCUCAUUAUAAACCUGGGUAAGCCGCUAAAAAUCGAAUAUAAAAAAAUCGAUAGAUGAAUGAUUGUCCUAGACAGAACCUGGCUUAUAGGUUAACUCUGUAC
rfam:Candidatus Riesia pediculicola TSDA, complete genome.